rnacentral:rRNA from 1 species
ACAAGCGUGGAGUAUGUGGUUUAAUCGAUGCAACGCGAAGAACCUUACCUGGUCUUGACAUCCCGGAGACCCUUAGGAAACUAGGGGGUGCUUCCAUCUGGAAGAAUCUGGAGACAGGUGCUGCAUGGCUGUCGUCAGCUCGUGUCGUGAGAUGUUGGGUUAAGUCCCGCAACGAGCGCAACCCUUGCCUUUAGUUGCCAGCAGUUCGGCUGGGCACUCUAAAGGGACUGCCGGUGUUAAACCGGAGGAAGGUGGGGAUGACGUCAAGUCCUCAUGGCCUUUAUGACCAGGGCUACACACGUACUACAAUGGCCGAUACAAAGGGCAGCGACACUGCGAGGUGAAGCCAAUCCCGUAAAAUCGGUCUCAGUCCGGAUUGGAGUCUGCAACUCGACUCCAUGAAGUUGGAAUCGCUAGUAAUCGUGGAUCAGCAUGCCACGGUGAAUACGUUCCCGGGCCUU